rnacentral:rRNA from 1 species
CGCGUAGGUGGCCAAUUAAGUCAAAUGUGAAAUCCCCGAGCUUAACUUGGGAGUUGCAUUCGAUACUGGUUGGCUAGAGUAUGGGAGAGGAUGGUAGAAUUCCAGGUGUAGCGGUGAAAUGCGUAGAGAUCUGGAGGAAUACCGAUGGCGAAGGCAGCCAUCUGGCCUAAUACUGACACUGAGGUGCGAAAGCAUGGGGAGCAAACA